GCGGCAGGCCUAACACAUGCAAGUCGAACGGUAACAGGAAGAAGCUUGCUUCUUUGCUGACGAGUGGCGGACGGGUGAGUAAUGUCUGGGAAACUGCCUGAUGGAGGGGGAUAACUACUGGAAACGGUAGCUAAUACCGCAUAACGUCGCAAGACCAAAGAGGGGGACCUUCGGGCCUCUUGCCAUCGGAUGUGCCCAGAUGGGAUUAGCUUGUGGUGGGGUAACGGCUCACCAGGCGACGAUCCCUAGCUGGUCUGAGAGGAUGACCAGCCACACUGGAACUGAGACACGGUCCAGACUCCUACGGGAGGCAGCAGUGGGGAAUAUUGCACAAUGGGCGCAAGCCUGAUGCAGCCAUGCCGCGUGUAUGAAGAAGGCCUUCGGGUUGUAAAGUACUUUCAGCGGGGAGGAAGGGAGUAAAGUUAAUACCUUUGCUCAUUGACGUUACCCGCAGAAGAAGCACCGGCUAACUCCGUGCCAGCAGCCGCGGUAAUACGGAGGGUGCAAGCGUUAAUCGGAAUUACUGGGCGUAAAGCGCACGCAGGCGGUUUGUUAAGUCAGAUGUGAAAUCCCCGGGCUCAACCUGGGAACUGCAUCUGAUACUGGCAAGCUUGAGUCUCGUAGAGGGGGGUAGAAUUCCAGGUGUAGCGGUGAAAUGCGUAGAGAUCUGGAGGAAUACCGGUGGCGAAGGCGGCCCCCUGA
rnacentral:rRNA from 1 species